UACAUGGGUGCAACGUUGCUCGGAAUCAUUGGCGUAAAGCGCGCGUAGGCGGUUAUUAAGUUGGAUGUGAAAGCCCUCGGCUUAACUGAGGAAGUGCAUCCAAAACUGAAUAGCUAGAGUACGAAGAGGGUCGCGGAAUUCCCGGUGUAGAGGUGAAAUUCGUAGAUAUCGGGAGAACACCGGUGCGAAGGCGGCGACCUGGGUCGAGACUGACGCUGAGCGCGAAAGCGUGGGAG
rnacentral:rRNA from 1 species